UACGUAGGGGGCAAGCGUUGUCCGGAAUCAUUGGGCGUAAAGAGCGUGUAGGCGGCCUGAUAAGUCGGCUGUGAAAGUCAAGGGCUCAACCCUUGAAUGCCGGCCGAUACUGUCAGGCUAGAGUCCGGAAGAGGCGAGUGGAAUUCCUGGUGUAGCGGUGAAAUGCGUAGAUAUUCGGAAGAACACCAGUGGCGAAGGCGGCUCACUGGUCCGGUACUGACGCUGAGGUGCGAAAGCGUGGGGAGCAAACAGG
rnacentral:rRNA from 1 species